rnacentral:tmRNA from 1 species
GGGGUUGACUGGAUUUGACAGCGGGUAGAAAUAGUAAGUAAGCAUGCAGUGCGUCGUUGAUUUGCACUUUAAUCUCAGUCUUCAAAAUUUUAUCUGGCGAAAGACAAUACGCUCUUGCUGCUUAAUCGAAUCAUAGUAGAUUGAGCUUAAUCCCGGCACCAGGUGCUGGGACGAGACAUCACUCGGAAGCUGUUGCUCCGAAGCAUUCCGAUCCAGUGGUGCAGUUACAUCGGGGAUAGUUCUUGUCGGCCUUGAGGCGAGAAUGAAACUUUAAAGGAUAAGGCAAUGGUUGAUGGCUUUGGUUCUGCCGUUGCUCGAAAACUUAGGCAAAGAUAAGCAUGUAGAAAGCUUAUGAUUUCCUCGUUUGGACGAGGGUUCGAUUCCCUCCAGCUCCACAA